AUAAGAGCACACGGGGGAUGCCUAGGCUCUCAGAGGCGAAGAAGGACGUGAUAAGCUGCGAUAAGCUCAGAGGAGGUGCAAAUGACCGUUAAUUCUGAGAUUUCCGAAUGGGGCAACCUGAAUAUCCUAUUUAUAGGAGGCGAACGCGCUGAACUGAAACAUCUAAGUAGGCGUAGGAGGAGAAAGAGCAAUCGAUUCCCUGAGUAGCGGCGAGCGAAACGGGAGGAGCCCAAACCAUGUAAGUUUAGGCUUAUAUGGGGUAAUAGGACUGCGAUAUUUGGUUAUAUAAUGAAAUAGAACAUACCUGGAAAGGUAGGACGAAGAGGGUGACAUUCCCGUAUAUGUAAGUUAUAUAAUUGAUAGCAGUAUCCUGAGUAGGGCGGGGCACGUGAAACCCUGUCUGAAUUAUCGCCGACCACGGCGAAAGGCUAAAUACUCCUGAGAGACCGAUAGUGGACCAGUACCGUGAGGGAAAGGUGAAAAGAACCCCGAACAGGGGAGUGAAAUAGAACCUGAAACCGUGUGCUUACAAGCGGUCGGAGUCCUACGGGAUGACGGCGUGCCUUUUGCAUAAUGAGCCUACGAGUUGCUCCUAUAUGGCAAGGUUAAGUGUUUAAAGACACGAAGCCGAAGCGAAAGCGAGUCUUAACAGGGCGCAUUAGUCAUAUGGGGCAGACGCGAAACCUUGUGAUCUACCCAUGGUCAGGUUGAAGUCCGCGUAACAGUGGAUGGAGGACCGAACAGAUAAACGUUGAAAAGUUUCCUGAUGAACUGUGGGUAGGGGUGAAAGGCCAAUCAAACUGGGAGAUAGCUCGUACUCCCCGAAAUGCAUUUAGGUGCAGCCUUGCAAUAGUAUAUAGGAGGUAGAGCUACCGAUUAGACUAGGGGGAUUCAACUCCUACCGAAUCUUGACGAACUCCGAAUGCCUAUAUAUGUUUUGCAGGAGUGAGGCGAUGGGUGCUAAGGUCCAUUGCCGAGAGGGGAACAACCCAGACUGUCAGCUAAAGGCCCCAAAAGGUAUACUAAGUAGAACAAACGCGGUGAGGUUGCUAAGACAGCUAGGAUGUUGGCUUGGAAGCAGCCAUUCAUUUAAAGAGUGCGUAACAGCUCACUAGUCGAGCGACCUUGCAUGGAUAAUACGCGGGCUUUAAGUAUACUGCCGAAGCUACAGAUUUGAUAGUAAUAUCAACUGGUAGGGGAGCAUUCUAUUUGCUGUGAAGAUGUGCUGCGAGGCAUGUUGGAGCGAAUAGAAAAGCAAAUGUAGGCAUGAGUAACGAUAAUGGAGGCGAGAAACCUCCACACCGAAAAGCCAAGGUUUCCCGGGCUAUGUUAAUCAGCCCGGGGUUAGUCGGGACCUAAGGAGAACCCGAAAGGGAAAUUCGAUGGACAGGGGGUUAAUAUUCCUCCACCAUGUAUACAAUAAAAGUGACGGAUUGCCGAGGUCAUCACGUACUGACGGAAUAGUGCGUAGAGCUUAGCCUUCGGGCGAAGCGAGAUGGAUACAGCGGUUCCAAGAAAAGCGAGUAUAUAUGCCCGUACCGUAAACCGACACAGGUGGCUGGGAAGAGUAUUCUAAGGUGCUCGGGAGAUUCACGGUUAAGGAACUAGGCAAAAUAACCCCGUAACUUCGGGAUAAGGGGAGCCAUCAGCAAUGGUGGCCGCAGAGAAAAGAUCCAAGCGACUGUUUAGCAAAAACACAGGGCUAUGCCAAUUCGAAAGACGACGUAUAUGGCCUGACACCUGCCCGGUGCCGGAAGGUUAAGUGGGGAUGUUAUCGUAAGAGAAGCAUUGAAAUGAAGCCCCGGUAAACGGCGGCCGUAACUAUAACGGUCCUAAGGUAGCGAAAUUCCUUGUCGGGUAAGUUCCGACCUGCACGAAUGGUGUAACGAUUUGGAUACUGUCUCGACCGUGAGCCCGGUGAAAUUGUAGUAUCGGUGAAGAUGCCGAUUACCCGCGAUGGGACGGAAAGACCCCGUGAACCUUUACUAUAGCUUAACAUUGUUCCUGGGCACGUAAUGUGUAGGAUAGGUCGGAGACUGUGAUGCGGCGUCGCUAGGCGUCGAGUAGUCACCCUUGAAAUACGACCCUUUGCGUGUUUGGGAUCUAACUCUUUCAAAGAGAGGACAUUGUUUGGUGGGUAGUUUGACUGGGGUGGUCGCCUCCAAAAGAGUAACGGAGGCUUCCCAAGGUACCCUCAGCACGUUUGGUAACCGUGCGUAGAGUGCAAUGGCACAAGGGUGCUUGACUGUGAGAGAGACACCUCGAGCAGGUACGAAAGUAGGGCAUAGUGAUCCGGUGGUUCCGCGUGGAAGGGCCAUCGCUCAAAGGAUAAAAGGUACUCCGGGGAUAACAGGCUGAUCGCCGCCAAGAGCUCAUAUCGACGCGGCGGUUUGGCACCUCGAUGUCGGCUCGUCACAUCCUGGGGCUGGAGAAGGUCCCAAGGGUUCGGCUGUUCGCCGAUUAAAGUGGCACGCGAGCUGGGUUCAGAACGUCG
rnacentral:rRNA from 1 species